CAGGUGUCCCACAUCUAGACUUGUUUACUGUAAUGUCUACUAGGUUGUAGCCCCGAUUUGUGGCCGUUGACGUUGAGCGCAGUGACGUUGACGUCGAGCGUAAGCUAACGUACGCUAACGUCAAGCAACCGCUCUCUUUGCUGGCUGGUUCAAUUAAGCCAAAGAUGGCAGCCGGAAGUGACGUUUCUCUUUGCUUGUUGAAAGCAUGGUUGAAAGUGAAGCACGAAAUGUUAACAACAUCCAUCCUUCAAUACUGUUGUGACAAUGGAGUUGCAGAGCAGCAAAGACAAAGCACUCGUCACCCAUCUGAGGUCUGUAUGUGUCCAUCUGGAAAAGACAUUUGAACAAACAGGUUGUUGGGGCAACUGGAGUCUCUCUCUCUCUCUCUCUCUCUCUCGAAAUGCCUCCCAGACCUGCUGGUGUCUGUGACAGGCCCUCUCCUGGUGAGCUAGCCUCCAUGAUGAAUGGCCACCUUUCCACUCUUUAUCGCCCCACUAAAUCAUGCGCUUACCAUGCUUUUAUGACCAAUUUUUGCUGCUUUGUUUUACUCUACCCCCAUUUUUGAAUGAAACUCCAAAGGCUCCACUUUUUUUGUAUAUUGUAUUAAUCUUUGAGGGUUUAUCACUGCAUUGGUAUUCAGGUGGAGAUUUGAGAUCUAGCUUUAUUAAUCAAAUUCACCGAGACAAAUGUGUCAGACCUGGUUUGGACUGGAGAAAUGCUCCACAGAAAAAUGCUCUUAUCUAAAGAGCAGAUAUUUCCAGAAUGUUUCAUUCAUUUACUGUUUUCUAACCUGUAUCUGUUAUGCAGCACUCCUGUCUUUUAUUUCUGUUGUAAUCCUGGAAAAGCAUAAAUUAUUUAUGUGAGUGAGGGUCACACGUGGAGCUGGUCAGAGAUUGCCAGGCAGACAGUAUGUCGGGGCAGGGUAGAAGGCCUGAGAAGAGACUAUUUUUUGCUCCUGAGGUGUGAUAAAUUACUGGACAAUGGAUUUUGCUCUGUUUAUGAAUGAUCUAGUCUUUAUGUGUAACUGCUUCUAUCUUUUUAAAACUGCAUUCUUUGUUCAAUGAUAGACAUUUAACUUUGUUGUUUACAUUGCAGGCUUUAAUCCUUUAUGUUUACAAAAUAUAAAAUGUAAUUUAGCUUGUACUGUAGUUGUGGCAGCGUAGUUUGGUGUGUAGUUGUGUUAGCUUUUUUUCCUUUUAAGUAUAGAAAAGACAUUCUUUUCAUUUAAUAUAGGCUACAUGUAUAAAAGUCAAUAACAAGUCUAUAUUAUGUAAUUUGAGUUAAACAAAUUAAAAGAUUUCUUGAGAAUUUUUACCCAAAUGCAGGGUAUGCUGAGAAGUAAGCCUAUAAGCUAACAGUGUUGAAUUUAGGACAAAUAAUCAUAAUCAUGCCAAUAUAGCUUUAAUAUGUUUAGCUAAUUCAGUAACGCAUCAAUGAAUAUUACCUAAAGCAUGCUUACAUUUAUUUAAAAUAAAAAGUUUUAUGGGUGCUGACACUUUUUGGUUUUGCAGUAUAGUAGAAAGGCAAAAAGCCAAUGCUGUUUUUUAUAACACUGAUAAAUAUCAGGUAGAUUAUACCUAUGAAAGUGUUUUAUAACUACCUUGGUGAUGCAGAGCUUUAGUAAGCUCUGGCUUCUGCACGGAUUCAAAGCGAGGCAGGUUUGGCCAGAUAUGUUGUACUCUGUCUCCACCCAGUGGACAGAAAUAAAUCCUGUCUUGUCAUUUGUUCUGAAUGAUGUUCAUCUGCCUGUAUGACUGUUUUCCUUAUCCACAGGGAA